CCUACGGGUGGCAGCAGUGAGGAAUAUUGGUCAAUGGACGAGAGUCUGAACCAGCCAAGUAGCGUGAAGGAUGACUGCCCUAUGGUUUGUAAACUUCUUUUAUAUGGGAAUAAAUUGUUCCACGUGUGGGAUUUUGUAUGUACCAUAUGAAUAAGGCUCGGCUAACUCCGUGCCAGCAGCCGCGGUAAUACGGAGGAUCCGAGCGUUAUCCGGAUUUAUUGGGUUUAAAGGGAGCGUAGGUGGAUUGUUAAGUCAGUUGUGAAAGUUUGCGGCUCAACCGUAAAAUUGCAGUUGAAACUGGCAGUCUUGAGUACAGUAGAGGUGGACGGAAUUCGUGGUGUAGCGGUGAAAUGCUUAGAUAUCACGAAGAACUCCGAUUGCGAAGGCAGUUCACUGGACUGCAACUGACACUGAGGCUCGAAAGUGUGGGUAUCAAACAGGAUUAGAUACCCCAGUAGUC
rnacentral:rRNA from 1 species